rnacentral:rRNA from 1 species
GAUGAACGCUAGCGGCAGGCUUAAUACAUGCAAGUCGUGGGGCAGCGCAGUGUAGCAAUACAUGGGCGGCGACCGGCAAACGGGUGCGUAACACGUACGCAACCUUCCCGUUACUGGGGAAUAGCCCAGGGAAACUUGGAUUAAUACCCCAUAUUAUAUUGAUUGGGCAUCUAAUUAAUAUCAAAGCUUCGGCGGUAACGGAUGGGCGUGCGGUUGAUUAGGUAGUUGGCGGGGUAACGGCCCACCAAGCCUACGAUCAAUAGCUGAUGUGAGAGCAUGAUCAGCCACACGGGCACUGAGACACGGGCCCGACUCCUACGGGAGGCAGCAGUAAGGAAUAUUGGGCAAUGGACGAAAGUCUGACCCAGCCAUGCCGCGUGGAGGAUGAAGGUCCUCUGGAUUGUAAACUUCUUUUUUCUGGGGCGAAAACCGGUUUUUCUAAACCAUUUGACAGUACCAGAAGAAUAAGCACCGGCUAACUCUGUGCCAGCCGCCGCUGUAAGAC